rnacentral:rRNA from 1 species
GCAAGAUUAAAACUCAAAGGAAUAGACGGGGACCCGCACAAGUGGUGGAGCAUGUGGUUUAAUUCGAAGAUACGCGAAGAACCUUACCUAGCCUUGACAUUGAUAGAAUCUUCCAGAGAUGGAGGAGUGCCUUUCGGGGAACUUGAAAACAGGUGCUGCACGGCUGUCGUCAGCUCGUGUCGUGAGAUGUUGGGUUAAGUCCCGCAACGAGCGCAACCCUCGUCAUUAGUUACUAACAGUUCGGCUGAGGACUCUAAUGAGACUGCCUUCGUAAGGAGGAGGAAGGUGAGGACGACGUCAAGUCAUCAUGGCCCUUACGGCUAGGGCGACACACGUGCUACAAUGGUUAGGACAAUGAGAAGCGAUACCGCGAGGUGGAGCAAAUCUAUAAACCUAAUCUCAGUUCGGAUUGUAGUCUGCAACUCGGCUACAUGAAGCUGGAAUCACUAGUAAUCGUAGAUCAGCCAUGCUACGGUGAAUACGUUCCCGGGUCUUGUACUCACCGCCCGUCACACCAUGGGAGUUGAUUUCACCCGAAGCGGGGAAGCUAAACUGGCUACCCUCCACGGUGGAAUUAGCGACUGGGGUGAAGUCGUAACAAGGUA